GUCUUUUUGUUAAAAAUUUAAAGUCGGGCCUGCCCACUGAAAAUUUAAAUGGCCGUGGUAUUUUGACCAUGCUAAGGUAGCAUAAUCAUUAGUUUUUUAAUUGAAAGCUGGAAUGAAAGGUUUGAUAAAAAAAUGACUGUCUCUAUUUAAUUUUAUUAAAAAUUUAUUUUUAAGUUCAAAAGCUUAAUUUUAAUUAAAAGACGAGAAGACCCUAUAGAGUUUAAUAAUUUAAGAUAAUUUAUAUUUUAGAAUUAAUUUAUUUAUUUUUUAAUAUUAUUUAAUUGGGGUGAUUAAAAAAUUUAAUUAACUUUUUUUAUAUUUCACCAUUAAUUUAUGAUAAUUUGAUCCAAUUUUUUUGAUUAUAAGAUAAAAUUACCUUAGGGAUAACAGCGUAAUUUUUUUAGAAAGUUCAAAUUAAAAGAAAAGAUUGCGACCUCGAUGUUGGAUUAAAAUUAAAUUUUGGUGUAGAAGCUAAAAAUUUUAAGUCUGUUCGACUUUUAAAAUUUUACA
rnacentral:rRNA from 1 species